rnacentral:tRNA from 1 species
UAUGGCAGACUAAUAAUGCAAGGAACUUAAAAUUCCUAAAUAAAGUUUAUAAAACUUUUAUUAAAU